GAGCUCACUUAGCACAUAUACUAAAAUUGGAACAAUACGGAUUAGCACGGCCUCUAAAGAGGACAUGCAAUUUUGUUAAGUAUCCCAUAUUUUU
rnacentral:snRNA from 1 species